CUCGGCCUCCCAAAGUGCUGGGAUUACAGGCAUAAGCCACCACGCCCAGCUUUACUACAAUUUAAAAAACCAAAAAGGGGUCAGGAAUAGUGGCUCACGCCUGUAACCCCAGAACUCUGGGAGGCUAGAGCGGGUGGAUCGUUUGAGCCCAGGAGUUUGAGACCAGCCUGGACAACAUGGGAAACCUCAUCUCUAGAAAAAACACAAAAAUUAGGUGGCCAUAGUAGCACAUGCUUAUAGUCUCAGCUACUAGGGAGGCUGAGGUGGGAGGAUCACCUGAGCCCAGGGAGGCUGAAACUGCAGUGAGCAGUGUUCAAACCACUGCACGCCAGCCUGGGUGACAAAGUGAGACCCUGUCUCAAAACAUACAAAGAAAAAAAACAAGGCAUAUUUUUGUAAACUGUCUAGUGGCACUAAACGUUCAUUUUCUUAAUUCAUGCAUUUUCCCUAUCCCUGUUCUUAAGGCUGCGGUUUGAGAAGAAAAUAUGCCAUCUCAUCUGCCGCCUGAUGAAACUUGUCCACUUUGCCCCAUAUGGGAAACUACCCAGCCCCUGUGCACACCACGCUGUUCUCGGCUCAUAAUGGGGACUUCCUCCAUAUCCUUGUGCCCGGAGAGGGAGGCAAAAAUAACACAGAAUGUGGCUGAGCAAUCCCCCGCAAGUCAGUUAACUUUCCUUGACUCUCAAAAGCCAGGCUACAAGUCAUCACACUUAACCAUGUCACUUGACAGACACUAAAGUAGAAUAUUAUCUAGAAAUACAAUUGUCACUAUCACUUAGGAAUAGGUGAAAUAAAUUACCAGGGGUCAGAGAAGGUAUGAGGCAAAUAAUAAUAAUAAUUAAGAAGAAGAAGAAGAAGAAGAAAGUUACCAGGGAAGCUACAGGGAAACUUCAUACUUCCAUGUGAAUUUCAGUGACUCUGUUCCUGUUCUUUCCUGGCUUACUUCUUGGUUUGUAUACUUUUUUUUUUUUUUUUUUGAGACGAAGUCGUCUCGCUCUGUUGCCAGGCUAGAAUGCAGCAGCGUG
rnacentral:lncRNA from 1 species